rnacentral:rRNA from 1 species
UGGGGAAUAUUGCACAAUGGGCGAAAGCCUGAUGCAGCAACGCCGCGUGAGUGAUGGAGGUCUUCGGAUUGUAAAGCUCUGUCUUUUGGGACGAUAAUGACGGUACCAAAGGAGGAAGCCACGGCUAACUACGUGCCAGCAGCCGCGGUAAUACGUAGGUGGCGAGCGUUGUCCGGAUUUACUGGGCGUAAAGGGUGCGUAGGCGGAUGUUUAAGUGAGAUGUGAAAUACCCGGGCUUAACUUGGGUGCUGCAUUUCAAACUGGAUAUCUAGAGUGCAGGAGAGGAGAAUGGAAUUCCUAGUGUAGCGGUGAAAUGCGUAGAGAUUAGGAAGAACACCAGUGGCGAAGGCGAUUCUCUGGACUGUAACUGACGCUGAGGCACGAAAGCGCGGGUAGCAAACAGGAUUAGAUACCCUGGUAGUCCACGCCGUAAACGAUGAGUACUAGGUGUAGGAGGUAUCGACCCCUUCUGUGCCGCAGUAAACACAUUAAGUACUCCGCCUGGGG